UGCAGAAUCCCGUGAACCAUCGAGUUUUUGAACGCAAGUUGCGCCCGAAGCCACUAGGCCGAGGGCACGUCUGCCUGGGCGUC
rnacentral:rRNA from 1 species